UUACCUCUUUUCUCUUUCCUUCCCCCUCUCUCCCCUAUCUAAUAAAACUUUUCACUUAAGCUCUGUCGGUCUGUCGUAUUUGUCCCCCUUGGUCACCCUCGCCUGCCUGGAAUCCGCCAUGGUCCCCUUCGCAGGCCCCCCUUCCAGCUUUAUCCUACCAUUUAAACAAAAGAACAACAAUGAGGUCUCUUCCUCUUGACAGGAAGGGCUCAUGAGGACUGAUGCUGGUGGUUCUCCAGUGGACCUGGUGAGGAGGAGGCUGUCUUAAGACAAAUGCCAGGAGACUAGACCUGAGCAAGCCCCUGCUUAGAGGUUGGAAGUCAAGAUGCUGGGCAAACAGGACGAAAGCAGACUGGGAGACCAUCCUCUGCAUGAAGGUGCAGGAUAUACAGGCUUCAACUGACUGCUUAGCAGACCCAGGAGUACCCCAACCCUGCUGAUCCUGGGAAAUGCUACAUCUGCCAAACUGCACCAAGUCCUAGGCUCUUGGGGCCAAUUCAGCUCUCAGGCAUAUCGUGCUGGUCAGAAACCACACAGUGGAGUUCAGAGAGGUUUGGUUCGACUGGCCCCAAACUGCACACCUAGUAGGGACAGAGCACAAACCAAAUACCAGUCCUGGCUUCAGCUGAGAAGUACCGCUGUCAAGGAUUGAACUUUCAGUAAGAGCUCUUCCAAGCAUGGCUGUGAUAACUCAUUCAACCCCCGAAGGCAUCCCACAGGAAAAUGGCCCAGCACACGGCAAUUCACAACCCUAUAUCCCCAGUCCCAGGACAGAGGAAAAAGGAGCCAUGCCCAGUGAUGCCUCUCACUCAGUUCCUAUUAACCAUGGACUCCCUACAAACACCCUGAGAGGUGAACUGACUCACUGAGGAAUACAGGAAGCAAUCACAACAUCAACUGGAUAAGCAGAUAGUGCUUCUCAUUGUCCUGGAGCUUUAAGAUUGGGCUCAGCUGACCAGCCAUCAAGUCUCAGGAAUCUGUCUGUUUCUGCCUCCCCAGGACUGGGAUGAUGAGCACUCAUCAUCAAUACCAGCAUUUUACAGU